rnacentral:rRNA from 1 species
AUAACUGGGAUUAGAUACCCCACUAUGCUUAGCCCUAAACUCAGAUAUUUAAUUACAUGAAUAUCCGCCAGAGAACUACAAGCAAAAUGCUCGAAACUCAAAGGACUAGACGGUGUCUCAAACCCUCCUAGAGGAGCCUGUUCUACAAGCGAUAAUCCACGAUAAACCUUACCACCUCUUGCCCAUCAGCCUAUAUACCGCCGUCUCUAGCCUACCUUGUGAAAGAUCAAAAGUUAGCGCAAUAGUCCACUACAACUAAAAAGUCAGGUCCAGGUGUAGCCCAUGAGGUGGAAGAAAUGGGCUACAUUUUCUAACAUAGAAAUAGUCACGGAAAAAACCCUGAAACAAGGUUUAAGAAGCUGAAUUUAGCAGUAAUUUUGAAACAGAGAGUCAAAAUUAAGCAGGAUAUGGGAUACGUACACMCCGCCCGUCACCCUA